ACCCCACCCCAUCCGAGCCCGCAGCCCGGCCAAGCAGAGCCCCGCCGUUGCCCGGCAAGGGGGCAACCUCGUUCUGGAGUCUCUACGACUCCGAUAGUCCGAUCAGGUUGGGAUUCGACGCGUGAUUUACUCCGAGUUCGAUUCCGCGUCGAUGGCGGUGGGGAUGUCUUGCUAGAGGCUUUAUAUAUGUCUGGGAGAGAAAAAAAAAACUCGCCUUUUUGGUGGGAUCUGGCUCUGUGAAUGGAACAGCCAUCGAGGUCGAGCGGCAAGCGCAAGGCCGCCGCCUUCGAUGCAUUUAUCUCCGGCGGCUGCAAGCGCCGCAUGGAGGCGGCGGCGUCUGAGGAGCGGGAUUGGACAUCGCUACACCCGGACAUCACCAUGAGCUAACUCGAGUGCUCAGCCUAGGUGACCGGGCGCUGUUCCUUAGUGAUGACCGGUGCCUAUCUGUCUCAGCCACGAAUCAACCUUCCAUCAGCAGCAAUUGCAUCUACUUUGCCAUGCCGAAGACUGUAAAUCCUGUGUUGGUGCAUUCACUCAGCGAUGGCUCGUUUGAAAGGCCGUGUUUGGAUGAAGGGUGGAAAAGUUUUAAUGAGAGAGAAACGAUGUUUUGACUACUAAUUAGGGGUAUUAAAUAAAGUCUAAUUACAAAAUUA